ensembl:lncRNA
GGAAGGAAAGGGAGGAAUGGAAGGAAAGGAAGAAAAGCAAAAACAAAUCAAAAGAAGAAGAAAACAGAACCAUUCAGUCCUUAAAUCAAGGACUGUCAGGACAAGUAGCCUUGGAAACAGUUUCAUGUUUAUUCAUCAUUUUCAAGGAAGCAGGAUUUCAUGUUUGGUUUUAAUAAUAACUGAGAGAGAAUCAGAAAGGAAAUAACAUUAAUAACUCUCCUCCCAUCUGCAAACUGAUUUCCACAGAGAACAGUCCAGCAAGAUUUUGGUAGACUGCAUAAUAUCAACCAAGGCUGUUUCAGAAUACUGCUGUUUUGCAGAGCCAGCCAUGAUGGGAUGCCUCUGUUCAUCUGGUAGACUUCCAUGGACAGACAGACCAACGGACGUAUUGUGAAAUGGAUAGUCUCCCAGUGAGACUACCUAAAAAGACACAAAUAAUAGUCCUUGAGUGACACUAGACCAGAUGAUCACCUUUCCUUUCCAGUGAAACCCAGAUAUUGUAAUGUGCUUCAGGAAAUCCCCUAUUAAGAAAUGCCUGAAAGGCAAGGACUGAGGUGAGUGCCACACAAUGCUCAUUCAUUACUUAGUAGAUGCUGGUUUUAAUGUAGACAACUAGUGCAGGACUACAUUUCACAAGAACAUCUCAGCAGUACAGACAGCUAAUGUAAUGAAAAAUGUCUGUUGGAGUACAAUAGUCUCCUACCUGUUUUCUCCAGUAUUUCCUGUUACUGCUCUUUUUAUUUGUAACCCAUUUAUAACCAGAAGACAUUAUUACUGGUGGUUACCAUCACUCCCC